AAAUUCUUGAGGACUAAAGAUGGGUACAGCUCUGCGUAUGACAUAGGAAUCGGGUCGAAAGAGACCUUCUUCCUCUCAAAGUUUUGUUGCUGGUGAUGAUUGUUGUUGGAAUUGUUGUUGGAAUUGUUGUUGUUGUUGUAAGUGUUUGUUCUUUGUUGCGGUUGUUGUAUUUGACGCUGAUUUUGAUACCGAUGUUGUUG
rnacentral:lncRNA from 1 species